rnacentral:rRNA from 1 species
AGGAUGAACGCUAGCUACAGGCUUAACACAUGCAAGUCGAGGGGCAGCAUUUUAGUUUGCUUGCAAACUGAAGAUGGCGACCGGCGCACGGGUGAGUAACACGUAUCCAACCUGCCGAUAACUCCGGAAUAGCCUUUCGAAAGAAAGAUUAAUACCGGAUAGCAUACGAAUAUCGCAUGAUAUUUUUAUUAAAGAAUUUCGGUUAUCGAUGGGGAUGCGUUCCAUUAGUUUGUUGGCGGGGUAACGGCCCACCAAGACUACGAUGGAUAGGGGUUCUGAGAGGAAGGUCCCCCACAUUGGAACUGAGACACGGUCCAAACUCCUACGGGAGGCAGCAGUGAGGAAUAUUGGUCAAUGGGCGAGAGCCUGAACCAGCCAAGUAGCGUGAAGGAUGAAGGCUCUAUGGGUCGUAAACUUCUUUUAUAUGGGAAUAAAGUUUUCCACGUGUGGAAUUUUGUAUGUACCAUAUGAAUAAGGAUCGGCUAACUCCGUGCCAGCAGCCGCGGUAAUACGGAGGAUCCGAGCGUUAUCCG